UACGGAGGGUGCAAGCGUUAAUCGGAAUCACUGGGCGUAAAGCGCACGUAGGCUGUCUGGUAAGUCAGACGUGAAAGCCCUCGGCUCAACCGAGGAACUGCGUUUGAAACUGCUAGACUUGAGUGCCGGAGAGGGUGGCGGAAUUCCAGGUGUAGGAGUGAAAUCCGUAGAUAUCUGGAGGAACACCGGUGGCGAAGGCGGCCACCUGGACGGCAACUGACGCUGAGGUGCGAAAGCGUGGGGAGCAAACAGG
rnacentral:rRNA from 1 species